rnacentral:rRNA from 1 species
UACGCAGGGUGCAGGCGUUAAUCGGAAUUACUGGGCGUAAAGCGUGCGCAGGCGGUUUGCUAAGAGAGAUGUGAAAUCCCCGGGCUUAACCUGGGAACUGCGUUUCUAACUGGCAGGCUUGAGUGUGGCAGAGGGGGGUGGAAUUCCACGUGUAGCAGUGAAAUGCGUAGAGAUGUGGAGGAACACCGAUGGCGAAGGCAGCCCCCUGGGCUAACACUGACGCUCAUGCACGAAAGCGUGGGGAGCAAACAGG